rnacentral:lncRNA from 1 species
UCAUUAAGGCACAUUUAGUUCUAAAAUUUAAAGCUAUAGAAAAAUGGAGUGAUUUGCCCAGGAAGAGGCAAGUUUCUUGAAUCUGAAGACUGGGCAAGCCCUUGUCAGAUAUAUUAACCACUAGAUUCUUUUGUGAUUCUUAUCUUAUUAUUUCUUUUUGUUUCUGCUCAAAAAGCACCUGAAUUCCCUUCUGACUCUCAAAUCUUGUGAUUCUGUUCAACACCAACCUUCCAUUUCAUUUGCAGAUCUGCCUUAAUGUUUAAAUAGCUCGCAUGGGCAUAGGAGACCCUGCUCGUUUCACCUCCCAGCUGGAAGGAUUGACCAUCUCUCCCCAAGCCAGGAUAUUAAUUUGGGGAGCUGUAUCAUGAGAAGCUUGCAGCCAUCUGUUUAUUGAUUCUAGCACAGUUUCAACAGAGCCAACCCUGUCUGUUCCUCACACUGUAACAAGGCCUCAUUUCUUUGUUUACAGUUGCAGAGACUCGCAAGGUCACAGCAGGAAGUCAGCAAGGAAAUGAACCUCUUCCAGCUGGUGGAUUAAUUUCAGUGUUCCAAAAGUCUUAAUGCAGCUUUAAGCUUAGUGGCUUAAAACCAAGAGAUGAUCAGCUGAUGAAGGAGUGAGGAAAGGAAUAUACGUGGAGAACCAAGAGAACAAGAAUGGUAACAAAUGAGAGCUAGUCUUCACCAAUUUUACAUCUAUGUGUUGUGGCCACACUGGUGUUGCAAUGCAAAGGGAAGGAAAUAGAACCUCAUUGAAGAGGUGGUUAACACUGAAACAACCAUGUCACCUAAUUAUUCUAUUGAUACUCUCAUGUGGUUGCAAGUCAUGGAAUGCUGUAGUCUCUGAAGAACUGAAAAUUAGUAUACUACAGAGAGCAAAGUAUGAAGAUUCUACAGAAGGGGGAACAUCAUACUUUCCCAAGGAAAAAGUUGACCACCUACAAUCUCAUCAGCAAGCAGAUGGACUCAAUUUUUUAACUCAAUUCUUUCUCAGCUCCCUCAGUUGUCUCUCUCUUAUGCACUGAGGGUUUGAGGGAGCUAUAACAAACUCCUCCCAAUUCCUUCCUUUAUAGAGAGCUCAGAACUUUUCAGGUAACUUUCCAUUUUUCAUCAGUGACUCUACUUGAUUUCUACUUCUUGGAAAAUUGAACCUCUUAGAUCCCUCCUCACCUGUUUUAGCUUCUUUUUGUGUAUUGUCUUUUGCCAUUAUAUAAUAAAUUCCCUGAGAACAGAAA